rnacentral:lncRNA from 1 species
UUUUCCUAAUGCUUUCGUGAACCUUAUCACAGUAUACCCAAUGUCACUGUAUUGCAGUCUUAUGAGAAAUGGUAAAAUGAACUGAAAAAUGCAUACUAGUUGACCUAUCUUAGAUAUUUACUUGCAAUAAAACAUAGCAUUUUCAUUUCAGAAUAAGAAAAAUACAAGACACAAAAUUAAAAUAUUCAAGAGGCAAACACAGACUACCAGGAAAGAAAUUGCACUACCUACUGAAGAGGCAAAUAAAGCAAAGGUAACUUCUAAAAUGAUAAUUCUUGACUGCAGUGCCCAAACUUUUUAUCUUG